CUCUUUUCUAAAGAGGAAACGGAGGCAGAGGGGGAGUGGAUCUGGGGAAGAAGAGAGCCAUACCUUUCCUUCAUUCUUCAAGGUGGAUCUAAUUACAGCUAUUGGGCUCUACAACACCAGAUUUGUAUCACAAACUGACCAGAGACGAAUGAUCCACAUGUAAGCCAAAUGUGGUGAGAUGUUCAUCAAUUGCUCAGCUGAGAUUACAGAAGAGGCAGGAGCCAUGAAGAUCCAUGACUUUUAACUUCAGUACCUGUGCCUGAUCCUUCCACCUCAGUAUCUUCAACCAGAAAUGUGUGGCGUUUAACAGUGGUGGCUGCAUUCUGAUUUUUUCCCU